AUUGAACGCUGGCGGCAGGCCUAACACAUGCAAGUCGAGCGGAUGACGGGAGCUUGCUCCUUGAUUCAGCGGCGGACGGGUGAGUAAUGCCUAGGAAUCUGCCUGGUAGUGGGGGACAACGUUUCGAAAGGAAGGCUAAUACCGCAUGCGCCCUACGGGAGAAAGCAGGGGACCUUCGGGCCUUGCGCUAUCAGAUGAGCUUAGGUCGGAUUAGCUAGUAGGUGAGGUAAUGGCUCACCUAGGCGGCGAUCCGUAACUGGGCUGAGAGGAGGAUCAGUCACACUGGAACUGAGACCCGGUCCAGACUCCUACGGGAGGCAGCAGUGGGGAAUAUUAGACAAUGGGCGAAAGCCUGAUCCAGCCAUGCCGCGUGUGUGAAGAAGGUCUUCGGAUUGUAAAGCACUUUAAGUUGGGAGGAAGGGCAGUAAGUUAAUACCUUGCUGUUUUGACGUUACCGACAGAAUAAGCACCGGCUAACUCUGUGCCAGCAGCCGCAGUAA
rnacentral:rRNA from 1 species